UUAAGUUGGUGCAAAAGUAAUUGUGGUUUUUGCAAGUACAAGUAAUGGCAAAAACCACAAUUACUUUUGCACCAACCUAAUAAA
rnacentral:miRNA from 1 species